GAAAUGCGAUAAGUAAUGUGAAUUGCAGAAUUCAGUGAAUCAUCGAAUCUUUGAACGCACCUUGCGCUCCCUGGUAUUCCUAGGAGCAUGCCUGUUUGAGUAUCAUGAAAUUCUCAAAGUAAAUCUUUUGUUAAUUCAAUUGGUUUUGCUUUGGACUUGGAGGUUUUUUUCUUGCAGAUUUAUUUCUGCUCCUCUUAAAUUUAUUAGCUGGAUCUCAGUAUAUGCUCGGUUCCACUCGGCGUGAUAAGUAUCACUCGCUGAGGACACUUUUGUAAAAAAAGGUGGCCGGGAAAUACAGAUGAACCGCUUCUAACAGACCAUUUGCUUGGACAAUAAAAUUUUUAUGAUCUGAUCUCAAAUCAGGUAGGACUACCCGCUGAACUUAAGCAUAUCAAUAAGCGGAGGAAAAAGAAACUAACAAGGAUUCCCCUAGU
rnacentral:rRNA from 1 species